UGGUGAGUAACGCGUGGGUGAUCUGCCUUUGGGUUGGGGAUAGCCAUUAGAAAUAGUGGGUAAUACCGAAUACGACUGCAAAACUACGGUUUUGUAAUGAAAGGCGCUACGGCGCCGCCCGAAGAUGAGCCCGCGUCCUAUUAGCUAGUUGGUGGGGUAAUGGCCUACCAAGGCGAUGAUAGGUAGCCGGCCUGAGAGGGUGUACGGCCACACUGGGACUGAGAUACGGCCCAGACUCC
rnacentral:rRNA from 1 species